CGCGUAGGCGGUUUGGUAAGUGUGAUGUGAAAGCCCCGGGCUCAACCUGGGAAUUGCCUCACAUACUGCCAGGCUAGAGUACGGUAGAGGGGGUAGAAUUCCACGUGUAGCGGUGAAAUGCGUAGAGAUGUGGAGGAAUACCAGUGGCGAAGGCGGCCCCCUGGAUCGAUACUGACGCUGAGGUGCGAAAGCGUGGGGAGCAAACA
rnacentral:rRNA from 1 species